CCAGGAUUCUCCUGCGAGUAAAACUACACGUCCCUUCAAGUGCUGGACUUCCUUUCAUCACGUAGGAGCACCUGUAGCACUCUUGCCUAAUAAAGCAUAUUGACUUAUAUGUAAACAGCAGAGCAGCACCUACAAGAAAGAACAAACCAGGACCAGCAAACCCCUUCCAUGGGACACACGGAGUGUCCCAAAAAUACUGGUCAGCUGGGAUUCAAGAAUCAUGCUUUGGCACUCUGGACUCAGCAAAAACCUCCUGGAUUCAAAAGGCAAAUGAGGUGAGAAGAAAAUGCAGCAGAGUCACUUCUCGACCUGGUUUGUCCUUUCUCAUCUGUGCAGCAAAGCAGUGCAUCAAGGAGACCUCAAUAUUGGUGCCAUUUUUCCCACUGGAGUCCUGGAUCUGUUGAAGAGCUGGCUAUGAGUAAUUAGGACAUCAGUACCCUCUCUACAAAAAUCAUGCAGGUUUGUGAGUUUCUCUGGUCCAAGGCUUUCUCCUUCUUUGCCUUGAAAUGAUAAUUUCCAGUAGUCACUCUAAACAGUAGCAAAUCUCAGUCCAAA